rnacentral:rRNA from 1 species
UACGAAGGGGGCUAGCGUUGUUCGGAAUUACUGGGCGUAAAGCGCACGUAGGCGGAUUUGUAAGUAGGGGGUGAAAUCCCAGGGCUCAACCCUGGAACUGCCUUCUAAACUGCAAGUCUGGAGGUCAGGAGAGGCGAGUGGAAUACCGAGUGUAGAGGUGAAAUUCGUAGAUAUUCGGUGGAACACCAGUGGCGAAGGCGGCUCACUGGCCCGAUACUGACGCUGAGGCACGAAAGCGUGGGGAGCAAACAGG